CUGGGACGACGGCCGCGCCCUCUGGCUUUGGGCCACCACCGGCGAACCGAUCGACUUCGAGACGCUUGGCCUCCAGCCGCCUACAGACGGCUCCAAGUCGAAGCAAUGCCUUAAGGCGACGUCUCGGACCGACUCGCUGUCUCAGCUGGAGAGCGCCAGCUGCGAGUCCACGGCCUUCUACGUCUGCGAGACGGGUAGCGCCAGCGUUGCCCGCUG